CUAUCCUUUUUAUUGUAGUCAUUUUAGUAGGUGUGAAAUGGUAUCUCAUUGUGGUUUUGACUUGCUUUUUCCUAAAGACUGAUGAUGUUGCGUUUCAUGUAUUUAUUGGCCAUUUCUAUGUCUUCCUUGUAGAAAUAUCUAUUACCUCUUCUUUUUAUUAAGCAAAUGUCUUCAAUUUGCAGAGCCACUUUCUCCAAAGAACUAAGUAAUAGAUAAUAUUUGUCAACUGUACACUUACAUGCUAGGCGUUGUGCCACUAAUUUAUCUGUAUGUCCGUAUAAUCUUCAGCAACCUUCCAGGAGAUUAUCAUCCUCAUUUUACAGAUGAGAAAAAUGAGACUUAGGGCGGUUACAUGAUUUGCACACUGCUGGUGAGUGGUGUUGAGAGUCUGUUACACUCUAGUGUCUCCCUGCAUCUGAGUGAGCUGAUGGAAUUUCUGAGGUAGGGGAGAAUGGGAAAAUUUACAUGAGACUGCAGGUCUGCCAGUUCAGCCCUAGUGUCCUUUGAACCCUUUCUUCAUAGUGUGAAUUGGUGACUCUAUAGGCUGCAAACUUCUAUGUCUUAUUGAUUUCUUACUCUUCCUCUAGUACCACCUUCUGGGGAUCCUGCCCUUCCCCAAAAGGAAGACUCAGGAGAAGGAGGAAUGCAUUCUAGUCUCUGCACAACUGGGCACCAGCCUCUCGUGAACUGCAAGUUUGAACAAGGAGAAGGCGCAUGGCUGCUGGAGGGAGAAGACCUAAGUACUAGUCCAGCCACUGCUCUUGUGGGACCUCUGCAGGCCUCACUAGCUGGGGAUCCAGUCACUUUUGAUGUUGGAGACUUAAAGCAUCAAAAGUGCAAAGGAAUUA